ACAGAGCUCAGGUCUUCUCACCCAGAUCCUGAGUUUCUUCUGCUCCUACAUCAGGGGCCCAUAGUGAGGCCCCCGAGACCCCUGGGGUCCCCACAACUCCUCCCCUCUCUGAGUUCCAUUCCCUGUAAUGAAUGACUAAAUCAAGUCAGCAAAUUGCACAGAGAGAAAGGGCCCUGUAAGACCUAAAGCCUCACCCAGGACUGCCAGGGCUGGGGCCAGGGCCCUCUGGGGCCUGGAACUUCAUGCCUUACUGCUGGUUCUCUCAUGACAGCCUGACAGCCCGACAACCUGAUCCUUGCUGACCAUCUGCUCUGGGACAAAUGGUGUGGGAGGCUGAACAAUGGUACCUCAAAGAUGCUCCUGUCCUGAUCCCAGAUCCUACGGAUAUGUUUACCUUGCACAGUGAAAAGGAUUUUGCAGAUGUGAUUAAGUUAAGGAUCUCAAGAUGGGAAGAUUGUCCUGGAUUAUCAGAGUGGGUCCCUUGUAAUCACAAGGGGUCUUACGAGAGGAAGGCAGGAGGGUCAGAGGUCAGAGGAAGAGUGUGACAGUGAAACUAGAGGUCAGAGGGACUGCAGCCACAAGCCGAGGAAUGUGAGCAGACUCUGAAAGCCAGAAAAGGCAAGGAAAUUGAUUUUUCUCUAGAGCCUCCAGAAAGAACACAUCUGUACCAACACCUUGAUCUUAGCCCAGGAGACUGCUUUUGGACUUCUGAUCUCCAGAACCAGAAGACAAUAAAUCGGAAUUGUUUUAAGCCUUUGUGUUUGCGGAGACUUGUUAUAGCUGCCCUGUUGUUCCUAUGUUUAGUCUCUCAGUUGUAUUUAGCUC
ensembl:lncRNA